UACGAAGGGGGCUAGCGUUGCUCGGAAUCACUGGGCGUAAAGCGCACGUAGGCGGAUUGCUAAGUCAGGGGUGAAAUCCUGGAGCUCAACUCCAGAACUGCCUUCGAUACUGGCGAUCUCGAGUCCGGAAGAGGUGAGUGGAACUCCUAGUGUAGAGGUGGAAUUCGUAGAUAUUAGGAAGAACACCAGUGGCGAAGGCGGCUCACUGGUCCGGUACUGACGCUGAGGUGCGAAAGCGUGGGGAGCAAACAGG
rnacentral:rRNA from 1 species